rnacentral:misc_RNA from 1 species
GGGGGGCUUCUCUUUUUCUUUUGAUUAUAUGUACAAAUACAACAAUACCCAAUUCUUGAUUUUUGUUCAUUUGUCUAAUGAUCUAAAAAAGAUUGCAUUUUUACAUCAUUUGACAAAAUGGGUAGUUGUUUUUCAAGCUCCAAAGUUAGUGGCUCAAACAGCAAUACCCCUUCAACCAACAAUACCACAACAAACACAAACACAGCGGUAAAUGCUCAUCAAAACCGCAGGGAAACCUCAAAAGCACCUUCAACAACGGUUGUUAAUCCAAGAAAUCAAGAAGGGUGUAGAGAUAAAGGUAAUAUUAACCAGAAAAAUCAACAAAAACAACCUAGGAAUUCACAGCAGAAUGUUAAACCAAGUUCAAGAAGACAAGGUGGGGUUAUUCCUUGUGGGAAAAGAACAGAUUUUGGGUAUCAUAAAGAUUUUGAAAAGAGGUAUACAAUUGGGAAAUUGUUGGGUCAUGGUCAAUUUGGUUAUACAUAUGUUGCUACAGAUAAAUCUUCUGGAGAUCGUGUGGCUGUCAAAAGAAUUGAGAAAAACAAGAUGGUUCUUCCCAUUGCGGUUGAGGAUGUGAAACGAGAAGUCAAGAUAUUGAAGGCCUUAGGUGGUCAUGAGAAUGUGGUUCAAUUCUAUAAUUCAUUCGAGGAUGAUAAUUAUGUCUACAUUGUGAUGGAGUUAUGUGAAGGUGGAGAACUAUUGGACCGAAUUUUGUCCAAAAAAGACAGUCGGUAUACCGAGAAAGAUGCAGCAAUAGUUGUACGCCAGAUGCUAAAAGUGGCAGCUGAGUGUCAUUUACAUGGU